UGGCGAACGGUGUGUCUAUUUCGCAGGAGCCCGGGAUAUUCAACGUUAUGGAUGCUUAUUUUGACGCGACAUAAAGAUGGAAUGAAUACAUGGUUUGACGAUUGUGUGGAACAUUGUUUUACAAAUAAAUAUCGACCAUAAACUGGAGAAAAGACAUAGCGACGAUAGUUUCCACAUAAGGGACAGACCGAGUUGACAACAGUUAUUAUCCGCGAUGGAUGACGGUCCUGUGACAAUGUCCGUUCGGAAGAAGGCGUUGGGAACCAGUUUUGGUUCUUUUUAAAUAUUUUAAAGUAUAAUUUUGACCUUCUCUGCAUUUUUUUUUCAGCAUUUCAUUUUUGCCAGAUUUCCUUUUUAUUCUUCAUACAAAUUCAAAAAUCUAUUAAUUUGUAUACCAUACCGAGUUCAUGUUAAAUAAGAUCCGGUAUCUGUCACCAUGACCUGAUGUUUAUGCAUUCAUUACGUUUCCAAAUUCUUUUCCCAUUUGUGGUAUUUCUUAUUUUUUCAUCCAUGCAAUUGUAUUGUUUUGCUGCUGUUUUUC